GCCAAGACGUAAAAUAACUCACACCCCAAACGCCCGGGUAUUACGAGCUCUAGCUUAAAACCCAAAGGACUUGACGGUGCCCCACCCAACUAGAGGAGCCUGUUCUAUAAUCGAUGAUCCACGAUAUACCCAACCAUUUUUUGCCUUCAGCCUGUAUACCUCCGUCGCAAGCUUACCAUGUGAACGCACAACAGUAAGCACAAGGGCUACAACACAUAACGUCAGGUCAAGGUGCAGCUUAUAAAAUGGAAGCAAUGGGCUACAAUUUCUAAUAUAGAACAAACAAAGUACUACAUGAAACACAGCUACAAAGAAGGAUUUAGCAGUAAAUAAGGAAUAGAGAGCCUUAUUAAACCUAGCCCUGGGGUG
rnacentral:rRNA from 1 species